UUAAGUUAUUAAGGGCGCACGGUGGAUGCCUUGGCACUAGAAGCCGAUGAAGGACGUUACUAACGACGAUAUGCUUUGGGGAGCUGUAAGUAAGCUUUGAUCCAGAGGUUUCCGAAUGGGGAAACCCAGCAUGAGUUAUGUCAUGUUAUCGAUAUGUGAAUACAUAGCAUAUCAGAAGGCACACCCGGAGAACUGAAACAUCUUAGUACCCGGAGGAAGAGAAAGAAAAUUCGAUUCCCUUAGUAGCGGCGAGCGAAACGGGAAGAGCCCAAACCAACAAGCUUGCUUGUUGGGGUUGUAGGACACUCUGUACGGAGUUACAAAGGACGACAUUAGACGAAUCAUCUGGAAAGAUGAAUCAAAGAAGGUAAUAAUCCUGUAGUCGAAAAUGUUGUCUCUCUUGAGUGGAUCCUGAGUACGACGGAGCACGUGAAAUUCCGUCGGAAUCUGGGAGGACCAUCUCCUAAGGCUAAAUACUCUCUAGUGACCGAUAGUGAACCAGUACCGUGAGGGAAAGGUGAAAAGCACCCCGGAAGGGGAGUGAAAUAGAACCUGAAACCGUGUGCUUACAAGUAGUCAGAGCCCGUUAAUGGGUGAUGGCGUGCCUUUUGUAGAAUGAACCGGCGAGUUACGAUUUGAUGCAAGGUUAAGCAGUAAAUGUGGAGCCGUAGCGAAAGCGAGUCUGAAUAGGGCGUUUAGUAUUUGGUCGUAGACCCGAAACCAGGUGAUCUACCCUUGGUCAGGUUGAAGUUCAGGUAACACUGAAUGGAGGACCGAACCGACUUACGUUGAAAAGUGAGCGGAUGAACUGAGGGUAGCGGAGAAAUUCCAAUCGAACCUGGAGAUAGCUGGUUCUCUCCGAAAUAGCUUUAGGGCUAGCCUCAAGUGAUGAUUAUUGGAGGUAGAGCACUGUUUGGACGAGGGGCCCCUCUCGGGUUACCGAAUUCAGACAAACUCCGAAUGCCAAUUAAUUUAACUUGGGAGUCAGAACAUGGGUGAUAAGGUCCGUGUUCGAAAGGGAAACAGCCCAGACCACCAGCUAAGGUCCCAAAAUAUAUGUUAAGUGGAAAAGGAUGUGGCGUUGCCCAGACAACUAGGAUGUUGGCUUAGAAGCAGCCAUCAUUUAAAGAGUGCGUAAUAGCUCACUAGUCGAGUGACACUGCGCCGAAAAUGUACCGGGGCUAAACAUAUUACCGAAGCUGUGGAUUGUCCUUUGGACAAUGGUAGGAGAGCGUUCUAAGGGCGUUGAAGCAUGAUCGUAAGGACAUGUGGAGCGCUUAGAAGUGAGAAUGCCGGUGUGAGUAGCGAAAGACGGGUGAGAAUCCCGUCCACCGAUUGACUAAGGUUUCCAGAGGAAGGCUCGUCCGCUCUGGGUUAGUCGGGUCCUAAGCUGAGGCCGACAGGCGUAGGCGAUGGAUAACAGGUUGAUAUUCCUGUACCACCUAUAAUCGUUUUAAUCGAUGGGGGGACGCAGUAGGAUAGGCGAAGCGUGCGAUUGGAUUGCACGUCUAAGCAGUAAGGCUGAGUAUUAGGCAAAUCCGGUACUCGUUAAGGCUGAGCUGUGAUGGGGAGAAGACAUUGUGUCUUCGAGUCGUUGAUUUCACACUGCCGAGAAAAGCCUCUAGAUAGAAAAUAGGUGCCCGUACCGCAAACCGACACAGGUAGUCAAGAUGAGAAUUCUAAGGUGAGCGAGCGAACUCUCGUUAAGGAACUCGGCAAAAUGACCCCGUAACUUCGGGAGAAGGGGUGCUCUUUAGGGUUAACGCCCAGAAGAGCCGCAGUGAAUAGGCCCAAGCGACUGUUUAUCAAAAACACAGGUCUCUGCUAAACCGUAAGGUGAUGUAUAGGGGCUGACGCCUGCCCGGUGCUGGAAGGUUAAGAGGAGUGGUUAGCUUCUGCGAAGCUACGAAUCGAAGCCCCAGUAAACGGCGGCCGUAACUAUAACGGUCCUAAGGUAGCGAAAUUCCUUGUCGGGUAAGUUCCGACCCGCACGAAAGGCGUAACGAUUUGGGCACUGUCUCAACGAGAGACUCGGUGAAAUCAUAGUACCUGUGAAGAUGCAGGUUACCCGCGACAGGACGGAAAGACCCCGUGGAGCUUUACUGUAGCCUGAUAUUGAAAUUCGGCACAGCUUGUACAGGAUAGGUAGGAGCCUUUGAAACGUGAGCGCUAGCUUACGUGGAGGCGCUGGUGGGAUACUACCCUAGCUGUGUUGGCUUUCUAACCCGCACCACUUAUCGUGGUGGGAGACAGUGUCAGGCGGGCAGUUUGACUGGGGCGGUCGCCUCCUAAAAGGUAACGGAGGCGCUCAAAGGUUCCCUCAGAAUGGUUGGAAAUCAUUCAUAGAGUGUAAAGGCAUAAGGGAGCUUGACUGCGAGACCUACAAGUCGAGCAGGGUCGAAAGACGGACUUAGUGAUCCGGUGGUUCCGCAUGGAAGGGCCAUCGCUCAACGGAUAAAAGCUACCCCGGGGAUAACAGGCUUAUCUCCCCCAAGAGUUCACAUCGACGGGGAGGUUUGGCACCUCGAUGUCGGCUCAUCGCAUCCUGGGGCUGUAGUCGGUCCCAAGGGUUGGGCUGUUCGCCCAUUAAAGCGGUACGCGAGCUGGGUUCAGAACGUCGUGAGACAGUUCGGUCCCUAUCCGUCGUGGGCGUAGGAAAUUUGAGAGGAGCUGUCCUUAGUACGAGAGGACCGGGAUGGACAUACCUCUGGUGUACCAGUUGUCGUGCCAACGGCAUAGCUGGGUAGCUAUGUGUGGACGGGAUAAGUGCUGAAAGCAUCUAAGCAUGAAGCCCCCCUCAAGAUGAGAUUUCCCAACUUCGGUUAUAAGAUCCCUCAAAGAUGAUGAGGUUAAUAGGUUCGAGGUGGAAGCAUGGUGACAUGUGGAGCUGACGAAUACUAAUCGAUCGAAGACUUAAUCAA
rnacentral:rRNA from 1 species